CACGAAGGGGGCUAGCGUUGCUCGGAAUCACUGGGCGUAAAGCGCACGUAGGCGGCUUUUUAAGUCAGGGGUGAAAUCCUGGAGCUCAACUCCAGAACUGCCUUUGAUACUGGGAAGCUUGAGUCCGGAAGAGGUGAGUGGAACUCCGAGUGUAGAGGUGAAAUUCGUAGAUAUUCGGAAGAACACCAGUGGCGAAGGCGGCUCACUGGUCCGGUACUGACGCUGAGGUGCGAAAGCGUGGGGAGCAAACAGG
rnacentral:rRNA from 1 species